AUUGAACGCUGGCGGCAGGCUUAACACAUGCAAGUCGAGCGGAGUGAUGGUGCUUGCACUAUCACUUAGCGGCGGACGGGUGAGUAAUGCUUAGGAAUCUGCCUAUUAGUGGGGGACAACAUCUCGAAAGGGAUGCUAAUACCGCAUACGUCCUACGGGAGAAAGCAGGGGAUCACUUGUGACCUUGCGCUAAUAGAUGAGCCUAAGUCGGAUUAGCUAGUUGGUGGGGUAAAGGCCUACCAAGGCGACGAUCUGUAGCGGGUCUGAGAGGAUGAUCCGCCACACUGGGACUGAGACACGGCCCAGACUCCUACGGGAGGCAGCAGUGGGGAAUAUUGGACAAUGGGGGGAACCCUGAUCCAGCCAUGCCGCGUGUGUGAAGAAGGCCUUAUGGUUGUAAAGCACUUUAAGCGAGGAGGAGGCUCUUUUGGUUAAUACCCAAGAUGAGUGGACGUUACUCGCAGAAUAAGCACCGGCUAACUCUGUGCCAGCCGCCGCCGCCGUAA
rnacentral:rRNA from 1 species